rnacentral:lncRNA from 1 species
CCUGAACAUGCCCUGGUGGGAGGGAUGGGACAGAAGCAGUGGCAGAUGAAGGUGAUGUUUAGAGCCAGUAAAACGAGCUGAUUCUAUGCAUGUUCCUCCUGUGGCCAACUCACAACCAGAGCUAUCUUAAGAAUGGG